UACGGGGGGGGCAAGCGUUGUUCGGAAUUACUGGGCGUAAAGGGCUUGUAGGUGGCCAACUAAGUCAGACGUGAAAUCCCUCGGCUUAACCGGGGAACUGCGUCUGAUACUGGAUGGCUAGAGUUUGGGAGAGGGAGUGCGGAAUUCCAGGUGUAGCGGUGAAAUGCGUAGAUAUCUGGAGGAACACCGGUGGCGAAGGCGG
rnacentral:rRNA from 1 species